rnacentral:misc_RNA from 1 species
AAAAACACUAAUGUAACAGAACAUCAAAAGACUUUAAUAUUAAAUAUCCAGAAACGUUAUCAAUUCGUCAUAAACAUACUACUUGUAUCCGACUCUGUCCAUUUCCGGCCAUUUCAGCUGUCAUUGCAAGGCAUGUCAAUGUCACUUAUUUAGUCAGAUUUAUUUUCUCCCAUUGUUCGAAUUAUCAUUCUUGACAUCCCCAAAGCCCCCAAACCGACUAGUGCGAGUCUCAUUCAAAACAUCACUGGCUCGGCUUGAAUUACUAUCACCAAAUCCACUGGAACGACCAGAACCCCAGUCCCCAAAAGCACUAGAACCAUCUGAUCGACUAGGUUCACCAAAACCAAAGCCAGGACUAAUAAAAUUUCCUGGUUGUUUUCGGUUAUAACCAAAGGAACCAGCUCCAUUCAUUUGACGAGAAAGUUGACCACGCCCAUCAGAAUGGCCAAAUCCUGGAUUCCUGUAACGAUUAGAUCCAUAAUCCCCAUGACCACCAGCUCNGCGUGUUUCACCAAAUCGACGAUCUCUCGCUCCACCAAAAGAUCCAUAAUCCCCAUGACCACCAGCUCGACUAAAACCUGUAUCACCAAAUCGACGAUCUCUCACUCCUCCAAAUCGAACGCCAUAACCAAUAUCAUUCAUGAUGCCCAUGCUUCCACCCUCAACUGUAAUCCUAGGAAGCUCUGUAAAUCUGCACCCUAUUUCCCGCUCAUAGAUCCUGACUUGCCUACUUUGAUCCUGUGUGUAAAUAAGAAUGGCAGUUCCUUUCUUCCCAGCACGACCAGUACGGCCAGAUCGAUGAACAAAAGUCUCUGAACAGUUUGGCAAUGCAUAAUGUAUUACCAGAUCAACGUUAGGAACAUCAAGGCCACGGGCAGCAACAUCAGUGGCAACCAAUAUAUUGAAAUUCCCAUUUCGGAAGCCUGAAAGUGUCCUCUCCCUCUGACUUUGUGAGAUAUCCCCAUGCAAAGCCUCACAUCGAAAGUUUCUUGCCAUAGCAUAUGCUAAUCGAUCAGCUUCACGUUUUGUUUCAGUAAAAACAAUACACUUUCCUCCUUUUGCGUGUUCUGUUAUCAGAGGACCGAGUACUGAUGCUUUUUCAUACGUGUCUGAGGCAAUUGAAUAAAGUGAGAUUCCAUCAGCCAGCUUUGUACUAGAAUCUCCAACAAGAUCAAUAGUCAGUGGAUCUUUGAGAUAAUUCCUGAUAAGGUUUUUAAUCCAACUUGGCAUUGUUGCAGAGAACAGCAUGCUCUGCCUAUUCUGUGGCAACCUCUGGAAGAUUGUUUCAAUAUCAUCCA